GUUUCCCCAGCCACUCUGGGCGGCUCCCAAUCAAGUGUUAAAAACAGUACAGCGUUGAAUAUUAAAAACUUCCCUGAACAGGGCUGCCUUCAGAUGUCUUUUAAAGAUAAGAUAGCUGCUUAUUUCCUUCACAUCUAAAGGACUACUUUAAACCACUACCGAGAAGGCCCUCAGCCUGGUUCCCUGUAACCUGACUUCUCGCAAUGAGGGAACCGCCAGAAGGCCCUCGGCACUGGAUCUCAGUGUCCGGGCUGAGCGAUGGGGGUGGAGAUGCUCCUUCAGGUAUACAGGACCGAGGCCGUUUAGGGCUUUAAAGGUCAGCACCAACACUUUGAAUUGUGCUUGGAAACGUACUGGGAGCCAGUGCAGAUCUCUCAGAACCGGUGUUAUGUGGUCCCGGCGGCCACUCCCAGUCACCAGUCUAGCUGCUGCAUUCUGGAUUAAUUGCAGUUUCCGGGUCCAGGACUUCCGGUGGAGCGCGGAACCUGUUGCAGGCGAGGGUUUUUUCUGCGGAGAGAGCCCUAGCUGUUUCGGCCGAUUUUGGAGGUUUUUAGGGCGAAAAAAACCUCCCGCUAAACCUCUGGAGGGUGUCUAGAGGUCUAGGUGCCCGGCAGUGCCUGGAAGCUGUUCGUCCAGUCGUCAGGUAGCCUUUGAAUAAAGGUGAAGAGAGCGACAGAACGAGCAGUCAAAGGUAGCCCCAUGUAGAGCGCGUUGCAGUAGUCCAAGUGGGAGAUAACUAGAGAAUGCACCACUCUGGUGAGACAGUCCGCGGGCAGGUAGGGUCUUAGCCUGUGUACCAGGUGGAGCUCGUAGACAGCUGCCCUGGACACAGAAUUAACUUGCGCCUCCAUGGACAGGUGUGAGUCCAAAAUGAUUCCUAGGCUGUGCACCUGGUCCUUCAGGGCCACAGUUACCCCAUUCAGGACCAGGGAAUCCCCCACACCCGCCCGCCCCCUGUCUCCCAAAAACAGUACUUCUGUCUUUUCAGGAUUCAACCUCAAUCUGUUAGCCGCCAUCCAUCCUCCAACCGCCUCCAGGCACUCACACAGGACCUUCACCGCCUUCACUGGUUCUGAUUUAAAGGAGAGGUAGAGCUGGGUGUCAGCUGGGUGGAAGAGCAGUGUCAAGGUGCCGAGAGGCAGAGCAGGGGAAUCAAGAUCCCUCAGAGAACAUGACAACCCAAAAUCCUUCUCAAGACAGAAAUUGCCCCUUCAAGGAAACAGAUGUGAACUUUGAGGAGUCAGUGAGUUCCAGGAAGUGCAGGAACCUGACAUUACAGACUCAGUCGGCUGCCAGACUUCAGAGGACCCACCUGAGGUACAAGAACACAUUAGAAGUAAAGGGAUACUCAUUAAUGAGCUGUUUCUCAGGAGUAAACCAAAUCCACAGGCAAAACGUAUUGCUUGUGGCUGUACUCUGGGUAGGGCUCAGAAGACUCAGGCUUAAAAGCCUGUGGUUGCAGUGCCAGAUUGAUGGAAUAGCUUUGUAUCAAUUUUGCUAAUAUGGAGCUAACAUUUGUCUGAGCACGGGGAACAUUUACCUAUGCCACUUUCAAGAGUAGAAACAUAAUGGAGAUUAUGAACAAGAGGGAUGAAGUUCCACCAGUGUCCUCCUCCCCACUGUGGAAGAUUUGUAGUGUGUGUGUUUGCAAAUUGAGAAUCGAUUGGUUGUUAUGGAUUUAAUUUGCUAUCCAAUGAAAUCUCAGCUCUUGAACUAAAGUAUUUUUUUUAAAAAAAUCCUUUACUGAUGUCAGAUGUUGCUGGACUACAACUCUCAUCAUCCCUUACCACUGAGCAUGUGCACUAUGAUUGCUUUAAAGGAACCAAGGGUGUGAUGUAAUUCCUUUUUCUUUCUUUUUUACGUUCCUUGUGCAUUCUGUUGAGGAAGAUGCUAAAUGGUGCAGAAGAUCCAUCAGUUCUACAAUUGUGUUUUUACCCAAGAGCUCAAUGUUCCGAAGGAGAACUUUGGAUUGCUGUAGAUACUGAAGGUGGGGGCUCUUUAGAAGGAACUGCUCUUAAAAAGAAGGAGAGGAAAAAUAGGUAGAACAGGGGGUAGGUCUUUCUUAAAUGGCAGAUCCUUGGAACUUCUAAUCCUCAAGCAAAACCCUUAGACAUGCCAGAUCAAUGAUGUAUUCAGGACACAGGUGCUUCCUGCAGCAUUGGGAAAAUAUAUUUUCUUUGCUGAUAACAAUAAUUCAGACCCGGCCCCAUAUGUAAGGAGCCCAAAGUAAUGCCAAAGGGAGGACAGGAAGAAAUGGAAAUUGAGGAGCAUUCUUUAGCAUUCAGAUUGCUUCAAAGGUACUCAUCACACCUGAAAUGUGGAGCCCUUUUCAGAGACUGCAUCUUGAUUGGUGGGAGGAAAUCAUUCCCUGGGUAUAUGAAUAAUAAUAGCAUUUAGCUCUAAAAUGCCCCAUUUUCUUGCAUUUCGGGGAAAAACAGCCUUAUUAUGUGGCUAUGAGCUAUGCUGUGGAUGAUAUUUUGUGAAAUAUCAGUGAAAUUACAGCUGUCAUGCCUUAACAUGGAGAUCUUAAGGAAGUGCCAAAUAGUUAAAGUAACUUCAUAAGAUUUCUGAAGUCUAAAGAAUGCUUAAACCCUUUGAAAGCAGUAGCCUAGAUCCUCAGGGAAGCUAGCUUAUUGAAAUUCAUGGAAGGAAAAUCUCCUCAUCCUCUUCCCCCCUGAUACCACCUGUAACCCCACAAAAAGUCUCUCCCAAGAGAUAGUGGGUUGUUUUAAUGUAGAAUGGAAUAAAGGUGACACCAUUGGACUGAAACUUGGAAGACAGGGAUUCUGGUCCCCACUCAACAAUGCAUCUCACCAAUUUUGGGCUAGUCACUGUUUCUCACAUGAUUGUUGCAAGGAUAAAAUAGGGAUAGAGUGAAACACGUAUGCCACCUUGAUCACCUUGGAGGAAAGUGGUAUAUAAAUGUAAUAAAUAAAUUAUUGCAUAUUUUAAUGAUGGAUGAUUAUACGCUAAUGGUCUGGUGUGAUGGUUUUACAGUGAAACCUCGGUUUUUGAACGUAAUCCAUUCUGGAAGACUGUUAGACUUCCGAAACGUUCGAAAAUCGAGCAUCAAUGGGCCGUUGGCAAAAUGAAUUGAAAAAAUGGAGAAACUCACCUCAGAAGCCAUUCUACUUCCGAGGCACAUUCAAAAAUGGAAGCAAUUACUUCCGGGUUUUCGGCGUUUGGGUUCCAAAUCGUUCAGCUUCUGAGAUGCUCGAAAACCGAGGUUCCAUUGUACUACUACUACUACUACUACUACUACUAAUAAUAAUUUAUUAUUUAUACCCCGCCCACCUGGCUGAGUUUCCCCAGCCACUCUGGGCGGCUUCCAAUCGAAUGCUAAAAACAAUACAGCAUUAAAUAUUAAAAACUUCCCUAAACAGAGCUGCCUUCAGUUGUAUAUAUAAUUAAGUAUAUUUCUCCUUGAAAUGAGGUAAAGCACGGUACCAAGUGCAAUGCUUAUUUGUGCUACAUGAACAGAACAGCACAAAACAAAGCCAUAACAAAAAUAAAAAGGCAGCAUAGUUAGGAGGCCUGUUUUAAGUAUACAAUGUAACAGAACACACAAACACACACACAAAUCCAAAAUUAGGUUCAUGCCAAUUAACCCCUCUGCUGUUUACAUGAGGGAUCUGUGUGAUACAUUGUGAAGACAGGCUUGCAACAGUCCAUUUCCUCUCAUGCUUGUAGCAUGUCAAGGGAUUUUGAUCCCAACCUUCAAAGAGUGAGAUUUAGGUCUAAAUAACAUACAUUUUCCAAUACUCCAACUGUACUAAAAAGGGGAGGUGGGUAAAGCAGUUGCACAGCAUGGAAACUAGUGUGUUUUUUGUAUUCUAACAGCAUUAUGUAAUAUUUGAAUUAAAUCAUACAGCGAAAAGGUUGUUGCAUUAAACAGACGCACGCACACACGGACAAACAGCAGCAGGACUAAGUAUUUUAAUGAUGGAUGUUUGAACAUAAUAGUGGUUCUUUGAGACUCAGAUAGUCAGUGAAGACCACGUGAGUUGCUCUUUAACAGGUUUUAUUUAAAGGAUGAGGAAACACAAAGCACGAAGCAAGAAGCAGCAGAUAUCAUUUUAUGGUCUUUUCAGAAUAGAGUGUUUUGUCUCAGGGUGUGAGGCUGAGAAAGAUGGGAGCUGUCCAAGGUAGGCGCUUAGAAGACGCAGAUCUCUGUUUGUGAAUUGAAGAUUAAGAUAGACGGAUGGUAGAAUAUAAAUUUUUGUGUUUGUGUGGGUAUGUUUCUUUUUUGUUUUGUUUUCUCUCUUUUCUUUUUAUUAUUUUGCUCUCUUUAAAUGUCAGCUAUGUUUGGUUUUUAUUGUAUUAUAUGCUGAAAACCUUUAAUAACAUUUUAAAAAAUUGUCUUUUCCCUUGCCAAAGAAUCCUAUCCCAUCCUGGGCAGGCAACAGGUCUGAACUCCUCACAUGCUAUGGGUACCACACCCAGUGUCAACAGCAAGUAGAUACUUUUUUACAUGGUUUUGAUUCCAUAGAUAGUUUAAUUACCUUUUAGCUAUGUGUGUUUUAUCUGUAUUUGUUUUAAUUUUGGCAAGACAGCUUAACUCAGGUCCCAGAUCUGGAGGAAAGGAGGGAUAAAAAUAAAUAAAAUAUGUUGUUAUUGUUGUUAUAGAAAGAAAUAUUCAAAAUUCUCCUUUGCAAAUUUUUAAGUUUAAAUAAAUAGGAUUAUUUAAAACCAGAAUACAUUUCAAAUGUUCUCUGACUGAUUGACAUCUUUGUCUGAUGCACAGCUAUAUCUGAUUCCAGUAUUCCAUAUUUGAAAGUUAGUGUUUUGCAGCUUUUGAUAGUUAACAUGAAGUGAUAUUUAGCAAUUGACAGCAUGGAUACCGUAGUUGGCGCUCAGUGGUACAUUGUAGUGGUUUCCAAACUUUCCCCCAAGAAUUGCUUGCCACAUAGACAUCUGCUCAGGAGCCUCAAUCUGCCCACCACAAGACCUUUUCACAUUGCAAAGGAUUCCGAGGCACAUUCAGCAUGGACUGAAAAAGAUGACCCCCUUCCAAGUUAUCUAGGGAUCCCUGGAAGAUAACUUGAAAACCAGGAACAUAUUGUGUCUGCCAGUAUUUUAUAACUAGCACAGUGUGGUAGAAAACGUGGACUCUAAGUAACCAGUUGGCAAUUGCUGGCUUUUGAGUUUUCAGGUUUGAAGCCUGCCAAAAACAAAACAACAAAGAAAAAGGCAACCAUUCUAACAGCCCUCAAUUUGUACAUUUUAUUCUAAACCUUUCUUAUGAGGAUGUAUACAAUUAUGGCACUUUGAGGCUGUAGAAUUGGAUUUUAAAACGGCUUGGCAAAGCAGGAAGUCUUGCAGGUUGUAAAGUGCUAUCAAACAAAACAGGACCAGCAGAAAGAAGUUGCCUUUCUACAGAGGAACCAACAAUAUAGUUCAGAUCUCCUGGGGAACGUCGUUUAUGUGAUUGUAAUAAGUUACAUCAAUACACAAAACCAUUGUAGUUAUGUGUGGUUAACAAACACGGCAAGCACAGUUAUAUCACUUUAAGCACCUCCUGAAUAGAGACGUGCUGCAGACAUUGCCUGCUCUUUUUAUAUGUUGCAAGUCCAUUCAGGACAGGGUCUGUGCUGUUGUAUCCUAAGUGUCCUUUGGAGAAGCCAGGAGGCUUCUCCAAGAAUCCAAUAAAUCUCAAGAAUCACAAAGCCAAGCUCAGAAGAAAGUGCUUUAAAAAGAUGAUGCAAAGAGUGCAACCUAACCCAAGCUAAGCUCUGCUAAGUCCCUGCAUUGAUUCCAAUAAGAGAAUUAAACACUCUCUUCAGCAGAAAUCAAUGGGCCUUAAAAAUACUUUUUUUUCUGGGUUAUGCCCCAAGAGAAAGAAAAAGGGUAAUGCGAUUAUUCCCUGGAGUCUAAAUACAGUGAUACCUCGGGUUACAAACACCUCGGGUUUCAAACACUUCGGGUUACAAACUCCGCUAACCCGGAAGUAGUACCUCAGGUUAAGAACUUUGUCCCAGGAUGAGAACAGAAAUUGCACGCCAGCGGUGCGGUGGGGGUGGGAGGCCCCAUUAGUUAAAGUGGUACCUCAGGUUAAGAACAGUUUCAGGUUAAGAACGGACCUCCGGGACGAAUUAAGUUCGUAACCUGAGGUACCACUGUAGAAGAUUCCAACUGGAAGUGAAGAUAUGGCUUGCUGCGUUCCAUGUUCCAUACCCUCCAACAUUCCUCAGAUGAAAAUAGGGACAUUUCUUACUCUCCCCAACUGACCCCAUCCACUCCCUUUGGUCCUGCGCCCCCCCCCCCCGAGAAUUUCCACCACCCUGGUCUCUGCCUGUACCUCAGAGCUGGUGCGUCACACAAGGCUGAGUCUUGGUGAUUGUGGAAGCCUCCCCUCCUCCUCGCCUCCUCUCCAGCAGCCGCUGUGAGCUGCCCAAGGAAGGAGGCAGGUGGCAGUGGUCAUGGAGAGAACCUGCGCUACACCUCUGAAUUGAGUUGGUUCACUGCAGACUAAACUAAUUCCUUUGUCCUCUCUAUUUACCUUCUGUGCUGAUGAUAAGCAGGCUACUGCAAGCCCAGAGAAUCAUCAUCAUCUUCUUCUUCUUCUUCUUCUUCUUCUAACAGUAGAAUAUGACAUGGAUUAACAGUAUCAUUACAGGUGCCCAGAGAAGACAAAGUCUCUACCAGAGAAGAAUGGCAAACCAAGCUGAUGGACUAUGCCAAGAUGACAAAACUGACUGGAAAACUCAGAAACCAAGAGGAUAAAAACUUUAUAAAAGAAUGGGGAGAAAUGUAUAAGUUAUUUAGGAGACCACUGUAAGCAGAAGGAAACAAUAGCAGGAUUUUGAUCUCACUUGUAGUUUUGCAAUUAUAUGGUUUGAUAUUAAAAUUGGAGUAUGGAAGAAUAUGCAGUAUUAAAUGUUUAUAAUGAGACCCCAUGGAGGUGAUGGAGAGGGGGGAAGUCCUGAGAUUUGGAGGAUUCUCUUUGUACAGUGGUACCUCGGGUUACAAACGCUUCAGGGUACAGACGCUUCAGGUUACAGACUCCGCUAACCCAAAAAUAAUACCUCAGGUUUAGAACUUUGCUUCAAGAUGAGAACAGAAAUAGUGUAGCAGCGGCACGGCGGCAGGAGGCCCCAUUAGCUAAAGUGGUACCUCAGGUUAAGAACAGUUUCAGGUUAAGAACGGAACUCCAGAAUGAAUUAAGUUCUUAACCCGAGGUACUACUGUAGGGAUAUACUGUAAGGAUACUCUGUUUAUAACUUUGUAUUUGUAAAAGUAAUAAAAAUGAUUUUUUAAAAAAACAAACAAACCAAAAACAGUAUCAUUACAGGGCCUUGAAGUCCUGCAUCCAUUUAGACCAGUUAAACAAAUAAAUAAAUACUUGACCUAGCUGCACAAUUAGUUUACAAGACUGACUAAUACCCAGUGAAAACAAAAUCCCAAACCGAAGAAAGAUAUCGCAGGGACACACACACAAACACACACACACAUACACACACACACACAUACACAGAGAGAGAGAGAGAGAUUUAAAUCCAUUGUGUCUUGUGAAACCUUUCAUAUGGGUUAGAAAGAAAUUCAGCAUAAUUCUGACAAACAAGGGAUAUGUCAAAAGCUCUUCCUUUGGGGGGGGGCAGAUGAAAUACUUCAUUAGCUGUGGGAAAACAUUUACUGGCUUUCGCUUCCGAGAUUAAAGGAGUUGUCACAUUACUGUUACAAAUAAGUUACCCACCCACUCAGCCUUAAAUACCCUCAGGCCCAUUUUUCAGUGACUGAUGACAUGUGUUUUAUAUGCAUGACAACACUGCAGUUAGGCCUGUCAUAUGCCUUAAUAAUACAUAUCAAAUAUGUAUAUCAUGAAAAGAUAAAGGGCUCUCUGAUGUGUAUCAUCUUCUUCAGCAGGAUUGCCAAGCCUGGGGAAUUAAGCUGUUGCAAACAAGGCACAAAUCCGCACACACAGCGCAGGCAAGUUUGUUUGAAAAGAAACAACCCAAUUGGGUAUCUGAGGCGAACCAGGGUCGAUGUCGCCAGCCAGCUCUGCCAUGAUUUAUGUGGUUUUGUGUGAGGAACAGCAACUGCUUUUUUGAAUGAAAUAUAGGGAAACAGUUUCCUGACCAAAGGAGCAAAAGAGAAAACAGAAAAGCCUGUGAACUUUAAAAAGAAACACCACAUCAUUCUGAACUGGGGUAAACAGAAACACAGCAGAAUAUCGCAAGAUGGAUUAAAGCAAGGCCAGAAUAACGUAUAGCAAACCAGAGCAAAGAAUAGAACACUUUAAUCAUUAUAGAGCACAGGGAGGACCAAAGAGACAUUUCAGUUAGUUUCCUUUAACCGUGGUAGAACUUGUGGCCAGCUAAGCUGAAGGCGGUUUAGCAAUCCUUGCAUUUCAGCCCACCAGGGACUCAAUAAACAUCUUCCUAGUUUUACUCCAUGCAUGAAAGUUUUGGCAAAACAGAGCGUGUCAAGUAUCUGGCAGGCCACAAUACAAUGUAGUUCUGUGUGGAUGGGGCUAGAGACUGAUUUCGAUAGGCUAACAGUGGACAAUGGUGCGGCCAAUGCAAGACAAUCAUAUGCAUGGCACAGAUGAAAGGAAGAUGGAUGAAAGAAUAUGGCUG